rnacentral:rRNA from 1 species
AAUGGGGGAAACCCUGACGCAGCCAUGCCGCGUGAGUGACGAAGGCCCUAGGGUUGUAAAACUCUUUCAGAUGCGAAGAUAAUGACGGUAACAUCAGAAGAAGCUCCGGCUAAAUUCGUGCCAGCAGCCGCGGUAAUACGAAUGGAGCGAGCGUUGUUCGGAAUCAUUGGGCGUAAAGCGUAUGUAGGCGGAUUAGGAAGUCAGGAGUGAAAUCCCGGGGCUCAACCCCGGAAUUGCUCUUGAAACUCCUAAUCUAGAGUCCCGGAGAGGUUGACGGAAUUCCGAGUGUAGAGGUGAAAUUCGCAGAUAUUCGGAGGAACACCAGUGGCGUAGGCGGUCAACUGGACGGGAACUGACGCUCAGAUACGAAAGCGUGGGUAGCAAACAGGAUU